rnacentral:lncRNA from 1 species
GGGAGAUGGUGGGCGCUGGGUGGUCCUAAGAGCUUUUCUUUCUCUGAGCCUCCUGUAGCCUCUGAAGGCCCUGCCAGAGCCCCGAGCUUGGGAGGAGCCCCCCAGAUCAGGAAGCAGUCACUGGCCAGGGCUCACCUUCCCUGCGCUCCUGCAUCCCUGGCCCCCAGUGCCAGCUCUUAAGAGAGCGUGGAAAGCCGGGGCAGGUCUUCCUCAGGUUCUCUUUGAUACUGGGGGAGGCCUUGCUCGCUCCAAGGGGAUGGCGGCUCAGCUCCUGUCUGCAAACACACAGGACACGGUGGAGCUCUUGGGCCGCCUGCUCGAGCUGCCUCCCCACGGCUCCAGGAGGAGCUGCUUAACUGGCUGUUGAAGCCUAGCCCAAGGUCAGAGCCGCCCGGCCUGUGCCCACAUGGGUACCAUCUCAGGGGGUCUUGCCAGGCCCGGGGGCUCAGCAGGGAGGAGUUUCACCCCAGCCUCCUAGCAAAGGUGGUUGUCGACCUUUGGCCUUCAAAGCAGGAACCCAUGUAAACCUAGGUCCCUGGAGUCCCAAUCUGGGCUUCAGACAAAGCCCCUGACUCUGUCUCUAAACACAUAUUCAUGGGGCAACAAGGAGCUUAGAAAUAGGGGCAGGAAAAAAAAUAAAAAAGGAAAGAAAUAGGGGCAGAGCCUCCGCUCCGUCGCUGUCCGCUUUGUGAUUGUCACUCGUCACUUGCCCAGGGCCG